GAUGAAGAACGUAGCGAAAUGCGAUAAGUAAUGUGAAUUGCAGAAUUCAGUGAAUCAUCGAAUCUUUGAACGCACAUUGCGCCCGCCAGUAUUCUGGCGGGCAUGCCUGUUCGAGCGUCAUUUCAACCAUCAAGCCCCCGGCUUGUGUUGGGGACCUGCGGCUGCCGCAGGCCCUGAAAAGCAGUGGCGGGCUCGCUGUCACACCGAGCGUAGUAGCAUACACCUCGCUCUGGGCGUGCUGCGGGUUCCGGCCGUUAAACCCCCUUCAUAACCCAAGGUUGACCUCGGAUCAGGUAGGAAGACCCGCUGAACUUAAGCAUAUCAAUAAGCGGAGGA
rnacentral:misc_RNA from 1 species